AUAAAGAUAAAUAAAAGAGAAUAAUGAUAUUAAAGAAAGGUUAAGAUUGAGGAUGUUGGACUGUAAUGGAACUGACGGGUUCAUUACAGGUCAUUAAUCGUUGACGAGCAAUGAGAGGAAGGAUCGAGCCACGGGCCGUGGUCUUCCAUAAUUAGGCUUGAGGAGCCAUAAGUUAACGUAUGUUAAAAACUAAGAAAAGAAAGUAAAAGAUCUUGCGGUGAGCAAGACGGAAGCUUGUCUGUUAUAGUUUACUACGAAAGUUUAAGCUAUUUGCUUGUUGUUUGAGUCUAUACUUAUGAAAUGGAAAUUGUGUGAAAGUAUAAUCGUGUUAUUGUGAUUCGGUGGACAGUUUUGACUGCCUUCACUGAGUAAUUAAUUACU
rnacentral:sRNA from 1 species